CUCAGGACUCCAAACGGGCAAUGGUAGGAAAAAAAGUGCUUUUAUUGAUAAAAGGUGAAUAAUCACCAUCAAUAUAAAAUAUAAUUAAAAGGAAAAACGGUAUGGUCCUACGCGUUUCGUUCUGCAAAGAACUUCAUCAGGGACCGUAUAUAAAAUAAAAUCAAUAUACAAUCAUGACAUGUAAAAAAACAUCUCCUAUUCCUCCCAUUCCCGAGUCCUCUUUAAAUAGGGCUAAUCCCUAUGUCCAUUGGUGGUUCCGUGGGUGGUGUCCAGUAUCCAUCACUUGAUUGGUUCUGUGGAGGAGCUGUUCAGCUGUUUCCCAUCUUUCUCGCAUUGCUGUAAUCAAAAUUGGCGCAUUCGGAUAACCGGAACCGGAAGUAAGGGUUGUACCGCACUUCCGCGUUCCACAUGCGUUCCACCUGCGGCUCAUAUGCGUUCCACCUUCGUUCCACUUCAACAUUGUUAUAUGAUCAUAAAAUUCAAUAAAGAGCAAUAUAUUCAAU